AUGCAACGCGAAGAACCUUACCAAGGCUUGACAUGCACUGGAAUCGCCUAGAGAUAGGUGCGCCCUUUGGGGCUGGUGUACAGGUGGUGCAUGGUUGUCGUCAGCUCGUGUCGUGAGAUGUUGGGUUAAGUCCCGCAACGAGCGCAACCCUCGUUCUAUGUUGCCAGCACGUGAUGGUGGGAACUCAUAGGAGACUGCCGGGGUCAACUCGGAGGAAGGUGGGGAUGACGUCAAAUCAUCAUGCCCUUUAUGUCUUGGGCUUCACGCAUGCUACAAUGGUCGGUACAGAGGGUGGCGAUGCCGUGAGGUGGAGCGAAUCCCUUAAAGCCGGUCUCAGUUCGGAUCGUAGUCUGCAACUCGACUACGUGAAGUCGGAGUCGCUAGUAAUCGCAGAUCAGCAACGCUGCGGUGAAUACGUUCCCGGGCCUUGUACACACCGCCCGUCAAGUCACGAAAGUCGGUAACACCCGAAGCCGGUGGC
rnacentral:rRNA from 1 species